rnacentral:rRNA from 1 species
GAUGAACGCUAGCGGCAGGCUUAAUACAUGCAAGUCGUGGGGCAGCAUGAAUGUAGCAAUACAUUUGAUGGCGACCGGCAAACGGGUGCGGAACACGUACACAACCUUCCUAUAAGUGGGGAAUAGCCAAGAGAAAUUUGGAUUAAUACCCCGUAACAUAAUGAUGUGGCAUCACAUUAUUAUUAUAGCUUCGGCGCUUAUUGAUGGGUGUGCGGCUGAUUAGAUAGUUGGCGGGGUAACGGCCCACCAAGUCUACGAUCAGUAGCUGAUGUGAGAGCAUGAUCAGCCAAACGGGCACUGGGACACGGGCCCGACUCCUACGGGAGGCAGCAGUAAGGAAUAUUGGUCAAUGGACGCAAGUCUGAACCAGCCAUGCCGCGUGAAGGAUUAAGGUCCUCUGGAUUGUAAACUUCUUUUAUCUGGGACGAAAAAAGGCGAUUCUUCGUCACUUGACGGUACCAGAUGAAUAAGCACCGGCUAACUCCGUGCCAGCCGCCGCAGUAAAAC